UGGGGAAUAUUGGACAAUGGGCGCAAGCCUGAUCCAGCAAUGCCGCGUGUGUGAAGAAGGCCUGCGGGUUGUAAAGCACUUUAAGCAGGAAAGAAAGGCGGGAGGUUAAUACCCUUCUGCUGUGACGUUACCUGCAGAAUAAGCACCGGCUAACUCCGUGCCAGCAGCCGCGGUAAUACGGAGGGUGCGAGCGUUAAUCGGAAUUACUGGGCGUAAAGCGCGCGUAGGCGGUUUGCUAAGUCCGCUGUGAAAGCCCUGGGCUUAACCUGGGAACUGCAGUGGAUACUGGUGAGCUAGAGUAUGGUAGAGGGUAGUGGAAUUUCCGGUGUAGCAGUGAAAUGCGUAGAGAUCGGAAGGAACACCAGUGGCGAAGGCGGCUAUCUGGACCAAUACUGACGCU
rnacentral:rRNA from 1 species